AGACCGCUCUCGCUCUGGAUGACUCAGGCUCCUGGGGGUGUUUGCACAUCGUGCCUGGGCGUCACUUGGGAUGGUGGCAGCUGCAGUGCAAGGUUCUUCAUGAUCAAGAAAAGAUUGUUUGUUCCUGGGUGACCUAGGUCCCAAAGAGUCCCACAGGAGGCAUGGCUCUGAGUGAUUACCAGCCCUGGGCACCAUUCAGGAAGGUGGGAUGGCCAUGGAAGGCUCGCCGUCAGCCAUGAAGAUGUGACCUGCCUUUCAAUUGAUGACCAGAGGUGCUCAGGCAUCCUGGAGAGAGUGUCCUUGUUUGUGCCCCAUGCAUGUGGAUC